CCAGCUCCAAUAGCGUAUAUUAAAGUUGUUGCGGUUAAAAAGCUCGUAGUUGAAUUUCUGCCGAGGACGACCUACCCACCUUAGGGUGCGUGUCAGCGUUGACCAAGGCAUCCUCCUAGACGCGGUCGAGCUUUACCGCUCGAUUCGUGCUAGGACUUUUACUUUGAGGAAAUUAGAGUGUUUCAAGCAGGCUUUUGCCUUGAAUAUUUUAGCAUGGAAUAAUAAUUUAGGACUUCGGUUCUAUUUUGUUGGUUUCUAGAACUGAAGUAAUGAUUAAUAGGGACAGUCGGGGGCAUUCGUACUCAACAGUCAGAGGUGAAAUUCUUGGAUUUGUUGGAGACGAACUACUGCGAAAGCAUUUGCCAAGGAUGUUUUCA
rnacentral:rRNA from 1 species